UUUUAUCCUCCCAAAAACAUUUUCUAUCUUAAAAAAAUAUGUGUUUUUAAUUUCGAGACUUAAAAUUUCGAUGGGUCAGAAAUUCAACAUAAAAAAAAAUUCGGAGUGAAAAACUUCGCCCAAACAGUGUCACCAGAGCAAGUGGUCGAUCCAGGAGCACAUCGAUAUCCAGCCAAUCAAAUCAUGUCCCUGACGUGACGUCAGCGUUUGUUUUGGUCUCUCGAGCUGUGUCUGAAUUCCUUCCGAUGCCGCGCCCUUCGUGGUCGCCGCCGGCCGGGUCCUUCAUAAAGCGGGAAGAGAAGAUCGUAUGUUAGGGCUUUAAAUUUGGACGGUCUAGCCUUGUCUUAUUUUUUUUUUGACAUUUAAUUGAACAAAAUACAAGUUGGUGUAGCUUUGCUGGCUAAUUUCCUGUAGCUUAGCCACCCCGCGUUGAACGUGUGAAGCGCGAAGCUGGAAAUGUUUCUGAGUUAUUUGAUUCAACUUUUACUUUUUGAGGAGUUGGAGCAGAUCAUUCGAUCCAUCGCCGUCGCAGGAACUUGCUAUUAUCCCGGCUGAGACAAAACGAUAUUACAAACGAUAUAUUUACUUCUCAGUAUACCAUAACAAUAUUAUUUGUAUUUCGUUUCUUUGCAGACCACAGACACACACACACACACAGACAACCAUAGACAACCAUAUACGCAGAUGUUUACACCGGAUUCUGAAAUCAUGUAUCCAUUCAACUCCUGAAAUUAAAAGUUUACUGUAAACUGGAUUCUCCGUGCCCUUCCCUCUGACCGGAGCUCUGUUGAAAGAAGCUAUAAGACCAGCAUUCCCCUCUAGAGUGUUCAUACUCUCUCACACAUAUACAUGUUAGCUUUAGCUAGUUUAAUUUAUUUUUUUACUUAGAAACUUCAUUACAGGUUGUAAAAUAUACAAUUACUGAAUUUGUGGGUUUGUAGAUUAUUCAAGUUGUAUUUCACAAGUUAUAGCAGUAAAUGCAACGAAGUAUAAGUACCUACCUUAUUCUGAGCAUAAAAAGAUUGUAAAAAAACUAACUAAAUACUGUUUUUAUUUUAUAAUUCAGACUAAAAUAGUGUUAAAUGUUUACUUCUUCUAUUGCAGAAAUUAAUUUGAACAAUUUUACCCUACUCUUAUAUGAAAUCAGUACAAGUAGUAUUUAAGUAUUUUGUUAUUCUCAUGUUCACCUAAGUAUAAUGAUGUUUUACAGUCUAAGAUCAGAAUACUUAAAACCACACAUGUUUAUGUUUGCUUUAAGUUUUUUAUGUAUUUUUUUUUACUAUAAAUGCAUUUCUUGUGUAUUUCUUUCUAAGCAGACUACACCCUGUAAUGCAGAAUCAACCUGAGUCUCGUGGAGCGGUUUAUUAACAGUGAAGAUCCAGGACCAGAAUCAGAGUGAACAGGAACUCUCCUGCAGUCCUCCUGAACCUCAUUGGUGACGUCUGUGGGGUGAUGUAACUGAGAUCCUGGUGUUUCUCUUCUGGUUGGCGAGCGGAGUAUCCUACAGGAUGAUCUCAAGAGUGUUUGGAUCUCUCGUUCCACUGUCCACUGCAGCAUCCACAGUCACUGAGGAGGUGGUGGCCAUUCGCCAUAAGGACCUUCACCUUCCAAAAACCCCUGAGGACCUGGAGGUGGAGUCCCGUGGGUUUGCAGGGCUGGAACAGCACAGAGUUUUUCCUUAAAGCUGCAGGUGCCAUCGAUGGAUGCCACAUCAGGAUCAAACCUCCUGGUGACCCUGGUAUCAUUCCAAAAGCGCCCUUGAUUAUAGAGCGUGCUUUGGAAUGAUGAAGACAAGAUUCAGAGGCAUCUUCCUGCAUGUGCUGGAGGAGCAUCACACCUUUGUACCUCACGGAAGUGAACACAUAGCAGCAUUUUAUGUUCCUUGGGAUAUAUUUCUAUUAAUUUAUAUAUUUAAUUUAUAUAUUGCAGGUUGUCACAGCUUGUGCCAUCCUCCACAAUAUCUGCUCCUGUGCUGACGACACCGAGGCUCCAGAGGACGAUGUGGAGGUGAUGAUGAGGAGGAAGCUGGUUUGAAGGUCACCAGUGGUGCUCUCUGGCAGGACCAACUGCCUGCUGAGGUUUCUGCCCUGGGGGAGGUACCACCUGACCUUGAUUAUUUUUAACAGCAUCCGUCCACAGCCAACCCUGUAAACCCUGAAGAUGGACGAUGCAGUCUACAGUGAAGAUGCAUCCUGAAACUCUGCAGAACAUCCUGCAAGAUGUUCCAAUCACCACCCAGAAAGUUCAAUUCCCGCGUCUCAGUUGAAGCAUCUCAUCCAUGUCGACCAUCUUUGUAAAUAGUGUUACAAUGAAUGACGAUUACUGUGUUGGAUUUAUGCCUUUAUUUAUGUUAAAAAAGCAAACAUUUUAAUACAUCAAAUAUAAACUUAAUUUAUUCUCAGAAAUCAAAUGUGGUUAUUUGUUGGCAUUUCUUUCCAGGAGACUAUAAAGUUGGUCAAAAGUCUCCCUCCUCUCUCGUGCCCUCUGCUCUUCUGCCUCAUGUCCUCUCUGAUCAGGUCUAGAAGCUCAUCACUAGUCGCAUUUCCAUUAACUCUGAAAUUUUGCAAAUUGGAAUUUUGAUACAUUCUCCUAAUGGAAACCACAAUUCCGAAAAAAAAAAAAAUGUUUUUGCCCUUAGAGGGGGUGGUAUU